CUCGUGACGAUUCUGUUAGGACGUUUUUCACUCCGUCCGUCAGGGACUCAUUAGAGACGGCGAAUAAACGCCAGGACGAAAACGUCCCGGUUCCAUGUAAACCUCUGAUGCGAGGUCCAAAACUUCACCAGUUAGCUAACUAGUCAAGGCAGUAAUCAUCAACGUUAGCCAUAAUGUAACUAAAUAAGUGUGCUAGUGCUGGUUUAGCAUUGCUGAUCAUCGAUACAUUGUUGAUUAGCAUGUCGAAUAGUUCUUCCUAGUUCUUCCUACCUUUGCUAAGGAAGUUGCGAUGCUAACGGCUAAUCCGUGUGUCAUGCCACCACUGACAGCCAGCAUGCAUUAUUAAGUAUUGUAGCUAGCGUCAUUUUUAUAUUGUUCAAACAGAUUAGUACUAUGCUAGCUGUAGAACUGAUCGAUUUAUCUUCAGAUAAAACUUUUUCUGAUUGUAGUUCCUGGGCUGGAAAACUGCAGACGGACACUUUAAAGGAAGAAACUAUGCACAUAUUACAGGUGUUUGAACUAUGCGCAUAUUACAAGUCUUUCAAUGACGAACGGCACCUUUAAUAAACGGACCACAUUCCUGGCUUAGAAGUUGUUAUUGUAUAAAUAAGGGAAGUACUGUUUACUGUUAGCAGCACCUUAGCAACGCUAACUGUGAUAGAUAUGACGGCAAUGUCUUUAGGUAUCAUUAAAAUAAGAAUCUUGCAACAUUUUUGGCUCGCCACACUGAAGAGCUGAAAUGUGGAACAAACCCACUUCUGAGAAAGAACAAAGUGCUCCAGCUUGCAGCGCCAUCUUUUCCCAUCGAGGAUUUGUUCGCAUCAUACACACGCUAAUGCCGAGAUGAAACGCACGCGUUCCUUGAUGGACGUCCAAGUUUAAUCUCCAGCUCGACUCGGAGCUGCAAACGGGCUUUACGUCUCCGGCAAACAGUCAUUAAAACGUCCUGCAGUGUAUUUAAGGCUAAAGGUGGAUUAGCGUCUCGAUGUGAUCCUGAGAAGUACACUCAUGUCACUGCAGGAACAGACAAAGUGGAAAACGUGGGAGGUACGCCGGCCGUGUUUCAUCUCUGCUCCCGUCUCAAGCUGAUGAGGCUUCCUUCUGGGACGAUGGCCAUGCAGACCAGUUUGAUGCAGUGUGCGGCGUAUGGUCUGAGUACUGAC
ensembl:lncRNA